GAUGAACGCUGGCGGCGUGCCUAAUACAUGCAAGUCGAGCGAACGGACGAGAAGCUUGCUUUUCUGAUGUUAGCGGCGGACGGGUGAGUAACACGUGGAUAACCUACCUAUAAGACUGGGAUAACUUCGGGAAACUGGAGCUAAUACCGGAUAAUAUUUUGAACCGCAUGGUUCAAAAGUGAAAGACGGUCUUGCUGUCACUUAUAGAUGGAUCCGCGCUGCAUUAGCUAGUUGGUAAGGUAACGGCUUACCAAGGCAACGAUGCAUAGCCGACCUGAGAGGGUGAUCGGCCACACUGGAACUGAGACACGGUCCAGACUCCUACGGGAGGCAGCAGUAGGGAAUCUUCCGCAAUGGGCGAAAGCCUGACGGAGCAACGCCGCGUGAGUGAUGAAGGUCUUCGGAUCGUAAAACUCUGUUAUUAGGGAAGAACAUAUGUGUAAGUAACUGUGCACAUCUUGACGGUACCUAAUCAGAAAGCCACGGCUAACUACGUGCCAGCAGCCGCGGUAAUACGUAGGUGGCAAGCGUUAUCCGGAAUUAUUGGGCGUAAAGCGCGCGUAGGCGGUUUUUUAAGUCUGAUGUGAAAGCCCACGGCUCAACCGUGGAGGGUCAUUGGAAACUGGAAAACUUGAGUGCAGAAGAGGAAAGUGGAAUUCCAUGUGUAGCGGUGAAAUGCGCAGAGAUAUGGAGGAACACCAGUGGCGAAGGCGACUUUCUGGUCUGUAACUGACGCUGAUGUGCGAAAGCGUGGGGAUCAAACAGGAUUAGAUACCCUGGUAGUCCACGCCGUAAACGAUGAGUGCUAAGUGUUAGGGGGUUUCCGCCCCUUAGUGCUGCAGCUAACGCAUUAAGCACUCCGCCUGGGGAGUACGACCGCAAGGUUGAAACUCAAAGGAAUUGACGGGGACCCGCACAAGCGGUGGAGCAUGUGGUUUAAUUCGAAGCAACGCGAAGAACCUUACCAAAUCUUGACAUCCUUUGACAACUCUAGAGAUAGAGCCUUCCCCUUCGGGGGACAAAGUGACAGGUGGUGCAUGGUUGUCGCCAGCUCGUGUCGUGAGAUGUUGGGUUAAGUCCCGCAACGAGCGCAACCCUUAAGCUUAGUUGCCAUCAUUAAGUUGGGCACUCUAAGUUGACUGCCGGUGACAAACCGGAGGAAGGUGGGGAUGACGUCAAAUCAUCAUGCCCCUUAUGAUUUGGGCUACACACGUGCUACAAUGGACAAUACAAAGGGCAGCGAAACCGCGAGGUCAAGCAAAUCCCAUAAAGUUGUUCUCAGUUCGGACUGUAGUCUGCAACUCGACUACAUGAAGCUGGAAUCGCUAGUAAUCGUAGAUCAGCAUGCUACGGUGAAUACGUUCCCGGGUCU
rnacentral:rRNA from 1 species